GCUUGUCUCAAAGAUUAAGCCAUGCAUGUCUAAGUAUAAAUGGUAUACAGUGAAACUGCGAAUGGCUCAUUAAAACAGUUAUAGUUUAUUUGGUAUUCGAAUUUACAUGGAUAACCGUGGUAAUUCUAGAGCUAAUACAUGCAUCAAACCCCGACUCACGAAGGGGUGUAUUUAUUAGAUGGAAACCAAUGCGGGGCAACCCGGAUUAUGGUGAUUCAUAAUAACUUUCAGAUCGAUCGCAAGAUCGAUGCAUCAUUCAAGUUUCUGCCCUAUCAGCUUUGGAUGGUAGGGUAUUGGCCUACCAUGGCUUUAACGGGUAACGGAGAAUUAGGGUUCGAUUCCGGAGAGGGAGCCUGAGAAACGGCUACCACAUCCAAGGAAGGCAGCAGG
rnacentral:rRNA from 1 species